UACGUAGGGUGCAAGCGUUGUCCGGAAUUAUUGGGCGUAAAGAGCUCGUAGGCGGUCUGUCGCGUCGGCUGUGAAAACCCGGAGCUCAACUCCGGGCCUGCAGUCGAUACGGGCAGACUGGAGUUCGGCAGGGGAGACUGGAAUUCCUGGUGUAGCGGUGAAAUGCGCAGAUAUCAGGAGGAACACCGGUGGCGAAGGCGGGUCUCUGGGCCGAAACUGACGCUGAGGAGCGAAAGCGUGGGGAGCAAUAGG
rnacentral:rRNA from 1 species